GUGACGAGCACCAACCGAGACUCGAUGAAUGAAAUUUCGGUUCUUGCCGAAGGUUUGUUCUAUUUUUGGCUGAAACAGAAACAUUUAGCGAAGCUCAUAUUUUGGCCACUACAUUCAAUACUACCUAGUUUACCAAUCCAUGUUCCGGGUGAAAAUGAUCUUCAAAAACUUCAAAAUAAUUUCCAGCAAUUUCUCGUGCCCACUUUGCUGAUAAGGAUUUUUUCCCAAACCUCUAAGCCUUACCAUUGUCGAGAUACAUCCGCUCUGUACCCUUAUCAGGAUACCCGGUGCAAUGGGGAUAUCAUACAAAUAUAAUUUUUUGAAAUAAGUCUUUGCAAACUGAUCAUUUGUUAGAUUAAUUAAUAAUAAUUAUUAAAAGUCGUAUUGAACAGUGACUAAAAUAAAUUGAUAACAAUUUUUUUAGCCAAGCUCACAAUCCUCAUAUUCGCACAAAACAACACGCAAACCAAAAAUAUACACAACAACAACAGAAGAUAUAGUUAUUUUCGAAAAAAAUCAACCUGUAUCUAUUGAUUUACCACCGGAAUUAUUUAACAGCGGAUUUCAAUUAAUUACAAACGUUUCAAAGAGAAUUGGAGACUUUAUGUUGGAUUCCGGAUUUCGCGCUCAUCGAUUAUUAGAGUCAAUGAGACCAUUCUUUUGGAAAAUUUUUGGAAAGAAAGGUUUCGUAAUCGAAGCAACAACGGAUAAACCAAUAUUUACAGAUCCUAACGAAAAAAACGAAAUUAAAAAAUAACUUAAAAAAUAACAACAUCUCUAGAUUGGUGGUGCUCAAUUUACUAUGUAUUAAAUUUUAUAUCUUAGGUAGAUUAAUUGUACAGCAAUUUUAUGUAAAAGAAAGUUUUAAUAGAAAUUGUUUUUAUUUA